AUUGAACGCUGGCGGCAGGCCUAACACAUGCAAGUCGAACGAGUGGCGGACGGGUGAGUAAUGUAUGGGGAACUGCCCGAUGGAGGGGGAUAACUACUGGAAACGGUAGCUAAUACCGCAUACCAUCGGAUGUACCCAUAUGGGAUUAGCUAGUAGGGGGGGUAAAGGCUCACCUAGGCGACGAUCACUAGCUGGUCUGAGAGGAUGAUCAGCCACACUGGGACUGAGACACGGCCCAGACUCCUACGGGAGGCAGCAGUGGGGAAUAUUGCACAAUGGGCGCAAGCCUGAUGCAGCCAUGCCGCGUGUAUGAAGAAGGCCUUCGGGUUGUAAAGUACUUUCAGCGGGGAGGCGUUACCCGCAGAAGAAGCACCGGCUAACUCCGUGCCAGCAGCCGCGGUAAUUC
rnacentral:rRNA from 1 species